UGCUACAGCUGCACAUGCACGCGACAUUUGCCUGCGGUGCCAGUCUGCCAGGUCUGGGCUCCACCACUAGGCUUCCCAUCGGCCUAUCGCUGCUCUCCCGCGUUCUGACGUCAACACCCGGAAGCACCGAGCUGCCUGCUUUGUUUUGGUAGUAGGAGUUAGAUAAUAAAACAGAGACAGGCAGAGGUCCAUUUGAGGGAGAAGUGCUCACUAAAUGGGGUGAGCUAAAUCGGGGAUGGAAGAUGACGAACCGAUAAAUGACGCCUCUAAAAUGCCGAGUUUUAUCAGUAGUUUCGAGGAGGGUAGGGUGAAAUUGUCCCGUAACCUGCCGACGGAAACUUCCUUCGUGGACGGUAAAGUUGAGCGGCCGACCAGAGAUUUGAGCCGACGUGUCACCAGGUCAAGCUCACGGUUAUCACUCGACGGAGCAGAUGGGGAGUCGGGCGAGAGGAGCGGCGACGAGGAGAGGGAUGCGGAGGGCAAUAACAACAACAACUGUAACGGGGGAGGAGAAAGGAGGAGGGCGAGCGCUGUCGAGAUUUUGAAGAGGAGUGUGGGGGUUUCAAAAUCGCCUUCUCUCCGUUUAAAUACAAUCAGUCGGAUGCAGUGCGGCGCCGAGCAUGAAACCCACGAAGAAAACGUUAAUAACGACCUUGGCCAUGGGAGUGAAUGUGGUGAUUGCAAAAAGUCGGACCCAGAAACGGGCGAAGCUGGGUCGGAAAACAAACCAACCUUAAGCGAGUUGACGGCUUUGGAUGGACAAGGAGUUGAAUAUUUAACAGUUACCGGUCAGUGCCAUCAUAAAUCUGACAAUGACAGCAACACGGUCACUUUAGACGAGCCCUUUAGUGUCACAGAACACGUUUAUUGCACCGUUUACUGCAUCGCCAACGACAGUCAUCGGAAAGACGUUGAAAUCACAGACAGUUACGAUGAAACGGUCACAUCUGACGCACCAGAAAUGGACCUGGAGACAGGACAGGACGCAGGUUCGAGUCCCGAACCGCCACUCUAUACAUUGGACGACCUGGUGGAUCCUUUGGGGGAUAUGGCCCACCAGCUGUACACUGAGCAUACCACUGCGGAGAGUGCGAUGCAGAGUUGCCGGGUGUGCCUGGAGGAAAAAACCAUCGCACCCCUGACCUGCUGCAGAAAGGCCGUGUGUGAGGAGUGUCUGAAACUGUACGUCAGCUCCCAGGUGCGAGUGUCCAAGCCUUACAUCAUCUGUCCAAUCCCAGAGUGCAGUGGCUACCUGGACGAGGGAGUGGUGAUUGCACAUUUGACAAGUGAGGACGUGGCGAAAUAUCGCUAUAUUCUGGAGCUGAGUCAGCUGGAUGCGAGCACCAAGCCCUGCCCCCACUGCAGUCAGUUCACUUCUCUGAAGAAGCACAACCCCAACCGCUCUGAAUACAAGUACAAGAUCCAGUGUAGCAACUGCCAGUUUGUGUGGUGCUUUAAAUGUCACGCACCCUGGCACGAAGGCCUCAAGUGCCGCGACUACAGGAAAGGGGACAAGCUGCUACGAACCUGGGCAAGCGUCAUAGAGCACGGACAAAGAAAUGCCCAGAAAUGUCCACAGUGCAAGAUCCAUAUUCAGCGUACAGAGGGAUGUGACCACAUGACCUGUAUGCAGUGUAACACAAACUUCUGUUACCGCUGUGGAGAACGCUACCGACACCUAAGGUUUUUUGGGGACCACACAUCCAACCUCAGCGUGUUUGGCUGCAAGUAUCGCUAUCUACCUGACAAACCUCAUCUGAGACGGUUGAUUAGAGGGUCUGUCUGUGCCGCUAAGGUGCUGAUAGCUCCAGUGGUCAUCCUGUUCGUCGUGGUGCUCGGAGCUCUUGCACUGGUGAUAGGUUUGGUAGCUUUCCCAGUCUAUUAUGUGUGUAGGAGGAAGAAGCAGCGCACUCAGGGAAAUGGACGGUGGAUCUGAAACUUUCUCUGCACACACACAGCCUGAAAAGACGACGCCCACACCUCCUCAGGGACAGACAUGUCAGCAUGUGUCAUCACAAAAGUCUGGGACGACCAUAAGAAAAUCAACACUUGCAAUUAGUGAGGAUCUUUCAGAUGGAAGGACGUACACGAACCUAUAAAUAUGUUGUUUCUGCUGCAGUUAACAAGGAAAAUCUGCAACAUGGAAACUGAAUUUGGAACAAGCCAUGAUGGAAACAUGAAUUCUCACUGAUGCAACAAAUGCUGGACAUUGACUUUGUUAUCAUCCUCAUUAUGAUUGAAGUUACUGACAUGCACACACAGUAGAAACUAACAUACAAGGACCAAACUUGAAAGGAUGACACUUUGCUGUUCUUGGCCAACCAGGUUAACACUGACUCUGAGGUUGUGUGUCUCGGCCCAAAGAGUGACUUUUUCCCAGACACACAUUCCACCCUCUGGCCCCUAAAUUCAAUAUCUGAAGCUUCAGUCACAUUUUAGUGAGCGUCCAUGUUCUGUUGUGGUUGUCCAUCAGCGUCUCCCCUAUCUGCCUCUGUCUUCCUCUUGUCCACCCUCCCUGCCUCUCUGCAUAAUGGCUCACACACACACACCCUCCCUCCCUGCCUGGCAGCGCUUCUCUGCUCUGCUCACACGCUGUAUGCCAGUAUCUGCAUCUUCGAAGGUGCUGUGCAGCAACUGUGCCAAAAUGCUGAACGUGGCAGGACAGACAGUUAACCUGCCUAAUUGCUGUUUUUUAUUAUUAUUAUUAUUAUUGUGUUGUAGGGGUGGCCUGCAGAGAUUUGGGUGGUGAUGCUGUCAAUGUGUUGCGGAGUCCACACAAGUUGAAGGCAUAAUUAUUCUGAAGAUAGUUGUGAACGAUCCAGAAGUGCUUAAGCUAAGACUAAAAAUGAAAAUGACUGAGCAUACUGUUGCGAAUGCUGUAGAUAAAGUAUUUAAGGUUUUUGUUUUUAUCGUAGUGUGGAUGGUGGCUUGCCAAAGAGCUAAACAGGAUGUUGGAGGUGACCCUCAGGCUGCUGUGCACUGAAUAUGAGUGAAAAGAGGAGGUGUGUCUGAGAACUGGUGGUUUUAAACGUAUACAAACCACUGUAACUCAUUCACACCGGCAUAUAAGAAAGCACACCUGUGGAGUGCUGCCAGGGAACAAGAGAUUUUCAAGAGCUUUCAAGGUUGUCACCUGGCACCAGCCAGCCGACCGUCCUUUUCUUAUCCCUCUGCCCUCUUCCCCCCGCUCUCGUAUCUGCAUUUUGUUUUACAGGUGCUUGUGUUUCCCUCUGUUCUCUCACUUUCCUAACAUCUUUUGUUCACCCUGUCCUCUGAAGUGUAACUGGACUGACAUCCCUCUGACCUCAGCUGUAAGCCGAGGCUGUUUAGUACAAAAGGCCCAGUUGAAAAAAAAAAGUGCACAUUCACUGAAGCUGUGGCUGCUGCUCAUCCACAACAAAACCAUCCAGGUGGGAUGGUUGUGAGCCUCUGAUAGGUGAUAACACAGAGCUACCUGCAGCGCAUGUCAGUGGUUCUCUUGCCACUUGAUGGAGGGACCUGAGUUGGAUUGCUCCUUCAAGAGAGUUCACCAAGAUGCUUUAAUGGAGAGAUUCAAGGAAAACCAACAAAAAGAAAGGACAAGCACAAGACAUCUGCACAUAAGAGAUACUAGAGUGAGAAAAAGAUGUGGACUGACACAAUAAUGAAAGGCUGAGGUGUGAUUUUGUUGGUUGGUGCAUUUUAAAAACUAGGGAGAAUGAAUGAGACUUGCACUAAAUCUGGCAUUUAUAGCAUGAAGGGUUAAUAAUCAUGGCCAGUUUGCAGUGUAGGGACAUUGGCUUGGCUUUAUCCUGGAGAUCUGAAACAUUUUCUACACCUGGGAGUUGAUAAAUACCAACAGUUGAGUGCAUGCAAACUGUAUGCACUCAACUGUACAUACAAGCUUCCUAAAAGCCCCAGAAAAUGCACUGUUACUUACUAAUUUCAUCAGUCCUAAGAGGCCCAGACUCUGGGUUUGAAAGCACUCUCAGGGAGUCUGUUUUUCUCCUCACUGUACUCAAAGCCCUCAUCUACAUGAGCUGUGCCACAGAAAUUGCUGAACGCCACUGUGGACAUAAAAAUACUUCCUGAUACCUUUGCCCAGAGCUACUUAGCAACCAUAUUUAAUUUCAGGAAGAAGAAACACUGUAGUGUCAAAGCAGAUUCAAAUAUCUCAGUGUCAUAAACACUGUCUAUGCUUUCCAGCCUGACAGUGUAUGAGUCAGCACCGGGAAAUGAAAUGUGCAAGUUGUACGCCAAACAGAAACAUUGAAAAUGUCCACUUCACUGUUAUUUUGCAAUAUCUGCAUAUGUUUUAUCUAGCUGCUCAGCAAAUACUACACUGACGUCUUGAAUUGCUGCAUUGCUUUGUUUGCCAUAUAACUGACUGAGGGCGCGAUGGACAUUUGUGCUAUAAAUUGUCUUCAGCACAGAGAAUGAGAUUAAUUUAGUAGGAGCUGUUUUUCUUAUGACAUGGAACACGCAUUUGUAACAGUUUCCACAAUACUGUAUGUUAUCAAAAGCUGGGCCCUGUAUUGUAUACUGUGCCACCACUGAAACAAUUAGUCGAUUAUUAACAAAUGACAUCUUUGAUUAUUGAUGAAUCAUUUACAUCAUUUAUCAGGUACAAAAUACAUUUGGCCAAACAAAGUCAGCAUCUUCACAGAAACUGACUUUAUUCAGUCAGUGACAUGAAAGGUGUUUGAGCCAGUGAUGGCUGAUACCCCCUGGCCUUUUUGUUUGUGUUACUGGUGCCUUCACAGCCACUAUAGAUCAGGGUUUGCCAACUUGUGGUUCAGGUCCUGUGCGUGAGUCCAAAGAUUACAAGUGGGGGUAAAAUCUAUCAUAGCCUCGCCAUGGUGCCUGUUAUGUCUUAGAACAGCUAGAGGACAGUGUAGUAUAUCAUGGGUUAGGGCACCUAAUGUGUAAGUAAAGUGUGUGGAACUACUGUUACCCCCUACAUGUGUGUCCUGUACAAUUAGGCUUUCAUUAACAGUGUGUUUUUCUGUUAAGAUGAAGAUCUAAAAUCUUACAGGUACAUCAAUCCAGGGUGUCAGCUGCAUCCCAAAUACUCUUGAAGUUUUGCACAAGUUAAACUGUGACUUUAUUUUGGCUCAUACCCGUCUUACUCUCUGGGCCUUGUAUGUUGAAACAAGGAAACAGUAGCACCAUGCGUCUUGCUGCCAACAAAGAUGACUGGUAUUGGACUAACAUGCUCAGUGGAGAAAGCGACUACCAGAAAGAUGUGCUGUGGACAAUAGAUUAUUCACUCAUUUCAGCUCAGGACACCUUUGGACAUUCAAUUUGCAGUGUCAUCACUAACGUCAGGAUGGACUUUCACAGUCUAAACAUGCGGACUGGUUGGAAAAACAGCCAUGUGUUUAUGUGUAUACAUCACUUUGUUUUCAGGGGAAUUUCUGCUCAAACAAAUGUCUUGAUUACUGUGCUCCUUAUUUGAACAAAGAACACAUUAUUCCACCUGCUGCCGUUCUUAACACUGUCUGCUGAUGUUAUUAUUGCUCACUUAGCCAGGCACAUACACUGUUUUCUUCUGAGGAUCUGAAUAAACAAAACCGGGUCAAAUGCCAAAAUGUCAUGAUUUGACUUGUUGGAUAAUAAUAACUGGCUAGGGCAUCAGUCUACCUUUUUAGUGACAUCUCUGAUUUAUCCAUCCAUCCAUCCAUUAUCUAUACUGCUUAUUGCUGAAUAGGGUUGUGGGGCCUGGAUCCAAUCCCAGCGGACACUGGGUCAGAGUCAGGGUUCACCCUGGACAGCUCCCUAGUCUGUCACAGGGCUUCUCUGAUUUAUGUAAUGCUCUUUUAUGCUGUCUGCACUGCAGUUGUGACUACAGCUUUACAUCAGCAGGGGUCAUUAUCACACCACAGGAGAAAAAUCCCCAUCACCUUACUUUCUGAAUGGAACAAUACAAAUACAGCGUUUUACAGGCAUACUCAGUGUGACCAGAAAAUUUCCAC